UACGAAGGGGGCUAGCGUUACUCGGAAUUACUGGGCGUAAAGGGAGCGUAGGCGGAUAGUUUAGUCAGAGGUGAAAGCCCAGGGCUCAACCCUGGAAUUGCCUUUGAUACUGGCUAUCUUGAGUAUGGGAGAGGUUAGCGGAACUCCGAGUGUAGAGGUGAAAUUCGUAGAUAUUCGGAAGAACACCAGUGGCGAAGGCGGCUAACUGGCCCAUUACUGACGCUGAGGCUCGAAAGCGUGGGGAGCAAACAGG
rnacentral:rRNA from 1 species